rfam:Camelus ferus unplaced genomic scaffold scaffold2048, whole genome shotgun sequence.
GAGGGUAGAGCUCAGUGGUAGGGCACAUGCUUAGCAUGUUAUGAGGUCCUAGGUUCAAUCCCCAGUACCUCCA